rnacentral:lncRNA from 1 species
CCAGGACUGAGUUUUGUACUCGUUGUAUCAGGGCAUCUUGCCCCAGACCUGUCACCCACUAGAAUUUGUUGUUAAACAAAUGAGGCUUCCUUCCUUAUGUGGCCCCCCCACCCCUCUUCUAAAGAGGACAAUUAAAGUACGAGAGAACGGAUGAGAUUAGAACGCUGGUGGGACUGAGAUGGGAAAGGACCUUAAAGGUUAUUCGUCCAAAGAAGAAAACCAGCCUUUUCCCGGCAGACGGAAACUGACGCGCUCCCCCUGGAGGCAGCGCAGGAUGCUCCCGGGAGUCCAGGCGUCCCAGCUUGGGGUCCCCAUCCUCGUGUGCAGUCAGGGCACUGGUGGGAACCCUGGGCUCCAGGCGGCCCUCGCGCUUGGCGCUGGUACAAGUCAGGGUAACCUUACGGCUUGUGCAUCCAGAGAAGCGAGGUCCCUGGUGGAGACUAGCUUGGGAUAGGUUGGGGAGACGCCCUCCGUUCUUCUAGAUGGCUGGGGUCUCAACAGCAAGCAGUGGGGAAUAAGACUUCAUGAACAAACCCUGAGACUGUUAAAGGAGUGCAUACUAUCAAAGGGACAGGCAUCCCCUGUGAACCUACUGAUGAAUUUUUCCUAAUGCUUAAUUUAGCUUGUGGACAGAAAUGCUGGGGCGAGACACGGCCAAGUCCGUCCUGUUCCUCCAGGGAAAUCCCCUCUCCGCCCUCCCUCUCCAUCUCCAUCUCCUCUUGCCCACCUCCUCCUCCUCCCCUUCUCCCCCAUCCCACCGCGCCCACCCCGCGUCAUCGCCCCCUUUCCCCUCCCACCUCCCGGCCGUGGUGCGGCGCUGCUCUCUCCUCCUCCGCAGUCUCGGCGGGAGCUCCGGGUGCUGUGGCCCGGCCUUGGCUGGGCGGCCUUCGGCUCAGGCUGGCUGAGAGGCUCCCAGCUGCAGCGUCCCCGCCCGCCUCCUCGGGAGCUCUGAUCUCAGCUGACAGUGCCCUCGGGGACCAAACAAGCCUCGCAGCCAUUUCUCUCUGCAGUUAUUCGGAAUCAUCUGGCCAGGCCCCAGUGUCUCCCUGUUGUGUGUCAAUCCUGAGUAGGUGGAGGAUGAAAGUAGAGAAGAUGAGAGCACGUCCUCGAAUUUAGGUAUGCGUGUAAACACAGCCAGUGGUGCUGGGAAGGACAGGUGUUGGGAUUGCAGAUGGCUAAAUAGAGGACAGCCAAGUUUUAAAAGGUGGUCAUGCAAUCAUUGGUGUGUCCUAACAUACACACUAAGGUAGAGGGUGGUGUUGGCCCUACAGGGUCAUUGAUAUGACUGAGUAGUUCGUGACCCACAGCAGCCUCCCAGGAACUGUUUGACAGAUCAAUGCAAAGUCGUGUCGCAUGGCAACAUACUAUAUACAUAAAUAUGGACAAGUUCCUCACUAGACAUUACAAGGAACCAGGUGAAAAGAAAGGCAUGAGUAAUUGCGAAUCUGUCACCUGGAAAGGGAAAGCAAUUCAGUGCAGGUCCUUCAGUGUUAAGUCAGCAUCUUUGCUUUCUCAUAGACAGGAAAAAUAAUUGAUUUGAAAUAUUAAUACAGUGGGCAGCCUUCUAAUCUUUCAUUAGUUUGCCUGCUCUAUCUAAGCUAGAAUAUAAACUUCUAGGGUAAAAAACAAAACACAAAAGAGAAACUGAGCCUUAAGGUAUAAUGUCAUUUCAUCAUAGGAUUCUAUAUACUCUAGAUAGACUCACUCAAAAAGUUGAGUUUUUCUUUCAUUGUAGAUCACUCCCUUAGAGUAAUUAUGUUGACAUAGACUCUGUUUCUUUUUAGACUGAGGGUCUGAUGCAGUU